GGUGAACGCUGGCGGCGUGCUUAAGACAUGCAAGUCGAACGGCAGUCUUCGGACUGUAGUGGCGCACGGGUGAGUAACGCGUAACUGACCUACCCCAAAGUCGCGGAUAACGAUUCGAAAGAAUCGCUAAUACGUGAUGUGCCGUCAGAUUGUGUUCUGCCAGUAAAGAUUGAUUGCUUUGGGAUGGGGUUGCGUUCCAUCAGCUAGUUGGUGGGGUAAAGGCCCACCAAGGCGACGACGGAUAGCCGGCCUGAGAGGGUGGCCGGCCACAGGGGCACUGAGACACGGGUCCCACUCCUACGGGAGGCAGCAGUUAGGAAUCUUCCACAAUGGGCGAAGCCUGAUGGAGCGACGCCGCGUGAGGGAUGAAGGUCUUCGGAUCGUAAACCUCUGAAUCAGGGACGAAAGACACUUCGGUGGGAUGACGGUACCUGAGUAAUAGCACCGGCUAACUCCGUGCCAGCCGCCGCAGUAACAC
rnacentral:rRNA from 1 species